rnacentral:rRNA from 1 species
GACGAACGCUGGCGGCGUGCCUAACACAUGCAAGUCGAGCGGAGUCAGUAAGAGGAAGUUUUCGGAUGGAAUCUUAUUGAUUUAGCGGCGGACGGGUGAGUAACGCGUGAGCGACCAACCUUGCACAGGGGGAUAACGGACCGAAAGGUUCACUAAUACCGUAUAAGACCACGGUGUUGCAUGACACAGAGGUCAAAGGAGCAAUCCGGUGCAAGACGGGCUCGCGUCCGAUUAGGUAGUUGGAGGGGUAACGGCCCACCAAGCCUAUGAUCGGUAGCCGACCUGAGAGGGUGAUCGGCCACAUUGGAACUGAGAUACGGUCCAAACUCCUACGGGAGGCAGCAGUGGGGAAUAUUGGGCAAUGGGGGAAACCCUGACCCAGCAACGCCGCGUGAAGGAAGAAGGUUUUCGGAUUGUAAACUUCUGUCCUUGGUGAAGAGAAGAAGACGGUAGCCAAGGAGGAAGCCCCGGCUAACUACGUG